GAGAGAGAGUCAGUAAUUAUCUAUUUAGAUUAGAACCCAGAGUCAGUAAUUAUCUAUUUAGAUUAGAACCCAGAGAGAGAGUCAGUAAUUAUCUAUUUAGAUUGGAACCCAGAGAGAGAGUCAGUAAUUAUCUAUUUAGAUUAGAACCCAGAGAGAGAGUCAGUAAUUAUCUAUUUAGAUUAGAACCCAGAGAGAGUCAGUAAUUGU
rnacentral:lncRNA from 1 species